AACCUGGUUGAUCCUGCCGGAGGCGACCGCUAUUGGAGUUCGAUUAAGCCAUGCGAGUCUAGAGGCUUAGGCCUCGGCGUACCGCUCAGUAACACGUGGAUAACCUGCCCUGUUCAGGGGGAUAACCUCGCGAAAGUGAGAAUAAUACCCCAUAGUUCACCAUGCCUGGAACGGUUGGUGGAUUAAAGCUCAGGCGGAACAGGAUGGGUCUGCGGCGUAUCAGGUAGUAGGGGGUGUAAUGGACCUCCUAGCCCUCGACGCGUACGGGUUGUGGGAGCAAUCGCCCGGAGAUGGAUUCUGAGACACGAAUCCAGACCCUACGGGGUGCAGCAGGCGCGAAAACUUGACAAUGCGAGAAAUCGUGAUCAGGGAACUCCAAUUGUCCCCGUUUUUACGGGGUUCUGAAUUGACUCUAAACAGGUCGAGUAAUAGGGGCGGGAAAUAUCGGUGCCAGCCGCCGCGGUAAUACCGAAGCCCCAAGUGGUCGUCGUUCUUAUUGGGCCUAAAACGUCCGUAGCCGGUUUGGUACAUUCGUGGGUAAAUCAGACAGCUUAACUGUCUGAAUUCUGCGAGCACGGCCAAACUUGAGACCGGGAGAGGUGUAGGGUACCUGCGGGGUAGGGGUAAAAUCCUGUCAUCCCGUAGGGACCACCAGUUGCGAAGGCUCUACACUAGAACGGAUCUGACGGUCAGGGACGAAGCCUAGGGGCACGAACCGGAUUAGAUACCCGGGUAGUCCUAGGUGUAAACGCUGUGGACUUUGUGUCGGGGAUUCUUCGAGGAUUCUCGGUGCCGGAGUGAAGAUGUUAAGUCCACUGCCUGGGGAGUACGGUCGCAAGGCUGAAACUUAAAGGAAUUGGCGGGGGAGCACUGCAACGAGAGGAGCGUGCGGUUUAAUUGGAUUCAACGCCGGAAAACUCACCAAAGCCGACUGUUAUAUGAAGA
rnacentral:rRNA from 1 species